GAUGAACGCUAGCGGCAGGCUUAAUACAUGCAAGUCGUGGGGCAGCAGGGGUAGCAAUACCCGCUGGCGACCGGCAAACGGGUGCGGAACACGUACGCAACCUUCCUUUAACUGGAGAAUAGCCCCCUCGAAAGAGGGAUUAAUACUCCGUAACAUAUUGAUAAGGCAUCUUAUUACUAUUAUAGCUCCGGCGGUUAAAGAUGGGCGUGCGCCUGAUUAGGUAGUUGGCGGGGUAACGGCCCACCAAGCCUGCGAUCAGUAACUGGUGUGAGAGCACGACCAGUCACACGGGCACUGAGACACGGGCCCGACUCCUACGGGAGGCAGCAGUAAGGAAUAUUGGUCAAUGGACGAAAGUCUGAACCAGCCAUGCCG
rnacentral:rRNA from 1 species